AACGAACGCUGGCGGCAGGCUUAACACAUGCAAGUCGAACGCCCCGCAAGGGGAGUGGCAGACGGGUGAGUAACGCGUGGGAAUCUACCCAGUUCUACGGAACAACUGAGGGAAACUUCAGCUAAUACCGUAUACGCCCUACGGGGGAAAGAUUUAUCGGAAUUGGAUGAGCCCGCGUUGGAUUAGCUAGUUGGUGAGGUAACGGCUCACCAAGGCGACGAUCCAUAGCUGGUCUGAGAGGAUGAUCAGCCACACUGGGACUGAGACACGGCCCAGACUCCUACGGGAGGCAGCAGUGGGGAAUAUUGGACAAUGGGCGCAAGCCUGAUCCAGCCAUGCCGCGGGAGUGAUGAAGGCCUUAGGGUUGUAAAGCUCUUUCAGUGGGGAUGAUAAUGACGGUACCCACAGAAGAAGCCCCGGCUAACUUCGUGCCAGCCGCCGCGGUAACAC
rnacentral:rRNA from 1 species